UCUAGUGUAUGUAGUCAGAGAGAUGUUUGGUUGCUGAGAUGCAGGUUCUCUCUAGUUAGGAGCAGAGGAGAUAAAAAUCAAAAGCUGGUGAAGCUUUAGCACCUGCCUCGAGCACAGUUCAGCUGAUGAUAACCACCAGUCACUGCUCUCAGCAAGAGACCUGAUUCUACCCAUCAUGCUUGGACUGAGACAGGCUAGAAUCCAAAAAUGCAAAUACCGACCAGAAAACUGCUGUUUUCUUCUUAACCCUGGUUAUCAGCGGGCUGUGGAUGCUCGGGGAGUAAAGCCUGGUGACAGCGGGUUGUCACACUGGCAAGAUAGGAUUGUGCUCAGGACAGAGCAAGUUGAAGAAAGCAAAAGGCUGGGUAUAGCCACCCUCAUUCCUGCCUGAACAGAUUAGGUGCUGUCACCACACAGUUGCAUCCCACCCUCGAGGUGGCUGUUUCAGUGAUUCACUCCAGCCCAGAGGACUGCCUGCUUCUCAUCUCAUCAACUUGAUGGAAGGAUGCAGUUGAACUUGUUCAUAGGAUUACGAGGAUGCCUGUCACAGCCUGCAUGGCAGAAAGCCGUAUUUGUAAUUAAUAUCUACACCAAUGGC
rnacentral:lncRNA from 7 species